GCAACCCGACUCCACGAAGUUGGAUUCGCUAGUAAUCGCGCAUCAGCCAUGGCGCGGUGAAUACGUUCCCGGGCCUUGUACACACCGCCCGUCAAGCCAUGGGAGCCGGGGGCGCCUGAAGUCCGGGACCGCGAGGACCGGCCUAGGGCGAAACUGGUGACUGGGGCUAAGUCGUAACAAGGUAAC
rnacentral:rRNA from 1 species